GUGAUCUCUGUCCAUUCUGCACCGUCAAUCUGACAGAAAAACAGCUAAAUGUCAUUUUUAUUCUCUUCGCAGAGGCAAAAACAAAAUAAAAAUCUUUCAAAAUCACCUGGAAAAGAAAAGACCAAUCUUAACAAGUCGUUCUGAGCUGAGGUAAGUGUUAAUAGAAAGUCUGUUGACUCUUUGUAAUAUAAUGAACAAUAAUUGGACACACAAUGUUGUUUCACUGACAGUUUUCCAAUAUUGACAACUGAACAGGAAAAGAGGUGAUUGGAUCUCAUCACAUGGAUGUUAUCUGGUAAUGAGUUGACUUAUUUCUGCUGCACAGAGGCGUGGAUCAAUGAGUAGUCACAGAGAGAUUUGAAGAUGGCAGAAAGGUUCGAUCUUACUGUUACAACCACAUAGCAACAGUAUCUAAGCAGAUGUUUUUUGUUUUCUAAUCAGUUUCAUAAAACGAGAUUUUGACAAUUGUUUCCUUCUCUAUUUGUACUUUCUUUGAACUUGGAAGAUGAAGAUGUAUGUUUUGAUUUACAGGGUACUGCAGCUUUGAUCUUGAGUGGGGUACAAGUAAUAGUACCCCAAAAGCCUGAAGUCUGAAUACUUCUGGAAAGGAACAGACAAGAUGGGAUGAGCUUGUUGAAGAGGAAGGAUACCAGUGUCUGAUGGCUCAUUCUCAGUGGUUUGAUGUUACUUUUAGUGUAUCUUCCCUUCAACCAAAGAAGACAAAAUACUGACUGUUCGUUGAGUUAGAGUGGAGAGUUAUUCUGUGUCUUCCCUUGAAGCUUGGUUCAUCUUAAUGACCGCCACAGAAGUUGAACAACAGACCUCCGUCAGCGGACUUCAGCCGCCAAAAUGCUGCUUGUGAAGUGCUCGAGUGUUGGACCGUUGAAAAGCUUCGGAAACCUCCUCUCCGCUCGCUAUUAUGAUGUCAGAUUAGGGAGGGACUGUGUCCGACAACUUUCUGAGGGAGCUUUUCUGGCGUUCACGCCCACUUCACACCACGAUUGUUCAGCUGUGCAGAGGUGAGCCAGGGGUUCAACUUCAUUUGUCAUCAUUUUUCAUCCCGACACAGCUAUAUCCGGC